GCUCCGUGUUAAGCAGCACCGUGGCGGUUCCACGCUGAGUGCAGCGUGCUCGGCUCUCUCGUUGCAGGGUGUCAGGCAGAGUGGAAGGAGAGGAGGAGAAGGGAAGUCGGGGACGUCGGUCAUGUCUAGGCGCUGGUGUUCUGGUGGCCCCAGCUAAGAAUUUGGAAGGGUGAAAAGAAAGUUAUUUUUUCUCCCUUACACUGGUAAAAUGAUAGCUGCAAGGAUGUCUGUCACGGGACAAUAAAGUGAAAAAUUUACCAUUCACUAUCUCCAAACUAUUUAGAGGUAUAGGGAGGGCAUUGCUCACAUGAGGAUUGAACACCAGCUUCAGGGUCCCAGUUUGUUAAGGAAAUCGAAGGGUGUGAUCAACAGCUCGUGCACUGCCGUGCUGCGAACCCAGAGUUCAGGCACUGACGUGGCGCUUCUGAUGGGUAGGUACGUGAUGUAACCCUCACUUGUGCUUUGAUUCUGUUACCCGCUUCCACACAAUGGGCUCCCCGCUCAAGGCAGGUGCCUCACUGAAUUUCCCGUGUUAGUGUCUGGUUGGCACUGUGUCUGUCCAUCUAUAUUCAGUUGCUGUAAUUGUUUACUGUGACGAUCAGGAGAGUUCUUGCCCAUGCGAUUGCGUUAUCAGCCUACUUGGUGAGCUCCGAUACCCCUGAGCUCAGUUUAGCUCAAAGCCCAGAAAAGCCUUUGUUUUAACUAGAGCCGAUUCUGCACAUCUGAGAGGUGUGGCACAUAACUCCCGGGCACGUUUGGGGUUUUAAUCCAGUUUAUACUGGUGCCGUGGAGGGUACGGUCUUAAUGCUCAAGACUGAGCCAAGGCAGGGCUCUUUCAUUAACCUGAGACCUUUAAAAACUACCAAAGUAGCCUGGUACUUUGAUAUCCCUAGAGGUAGGACAGAAUUUCAGGUGAUCCUCUUUGUCCCCCUGGAUUGCUGUGGAAAGGACCUCCUGUCAUCCUGCAUUGGAAUCUCUGAAGGAAGAUGCGAAACUUCCCUUGCGAAAGGUCCAAAAGUGAAACUGUCUGACAACCACAGAUUAACAGAAGGACGACAUACAAAUUUAUUUGAUGUUUUAUGUGACAUGGGAUCCUUUACAUGGAAAUGAAGACCUGAUGAAACAGACUUGGGUAUUUUAUGCUAGGUUUGAUAAAGAGUGGACAAUCACGGAAGACUAUGAUAGGUUAAGAAGUAUUAGGUAAUUGUAGUAAAUGGGGAUCAUCUUAACAAAAUCUAUUUUUUUUCAGAUUAUUGACAUCCUUUCUAAUUCAGAGAUAAAGUUGCUCCUUUCCUCCCAGUAUAGGGAGAGUGCCUGUCACAUGAGGGUUUUAUUACCUGUUUCAGGGGAGAAAGACAAGUGAGGGAGAAGGUCAAAGACACCAGUCUGUUUCUGCCUUUUCUCAAACUCCCUUCAGCUUAAAAUACUAAAUGUCAGUGUGCCAAAUGGUAAAUGUCCUGAACACCAUCAGUGUACUUUACUACAAUAAAAUAAGUGACAAAUCUGCAUUUUAGAAUUAUUGGAUGCUGGCAGUUGCCUAAAUGGGUGAGAUUUAGUCUGAUAAUUUCUAAUAAUUUUUGCUUAAUUGUAAUACAUUCUUGUGUGCACUAGUCAGAAGCUGAAAUAACAGCAUUUGGCAUGCAAAAAUAAGGAUCAUUAAAACUAUUUUAAAAGAAUUUUUCUGUAAUUUUAUUGACAUAUAGUUGAUUUUAUAAUAUUUUGUUAAUUUUUUCUCCACAGCAAAGUGAUUCAGAUAUUUCUUUUCCAUUAUGAUUUGUCCAGGAUACUGAAUGUAGUUUCCUGGGCUAUGUACCGAAGGACCUUGUUUAUCCAUCUUACAUGUAAUAGUUUGCUAAUUCGCAACUCCCAAUCCUUCCUUUACCUAUUCCCCCCUUGGCAACCACAAGUCUGUUCUCUAUAUCUGUGAGUCUGUUUUAGAUUUUACAGAUAUGUUGGUUUGUGUUGUAUUUUAGAUUACACAUGUAACUGAUAUCAUGUGGUAUUUAUCUUUUUCUGACUUAUUUUGCUAAGUAUAAUAAUCUAUAGGUCCUGCAAAUGAAAUUAUUUUUUGAUUGCUGAGUAAUACUCCAUUUAUAUGUACAACAUUUGCUUUAUCCAGAGCCACACCUGUGGCAUAUGGAAGUUCCCAGGCUAGGGGUUGACUCGGAGCUACAACUGCCAGCCUAUGCCACAGGCACAGCAAUAUAACAUCCGAGCUACGUCUGCAGCCUACAACC